CCUGAUGCAGCCAUGCCGCGUGUGUGAAGAAGGCCUUCGGGUUGUAAAGCACUUUCAGUUGUGAGGAAAAGUUAGUAGUUAAUACCUGCUAGCCGUGACGUUAACAACAGAAGAAGCACCGGCUAACUCCGUGCCAGCAGCCGCGGUAAUACGGAGGGUGCGAGCGUUAAUCGGAAUUACUGGGCGUAAAGCGCACGCAGGCGGUUUGUUAAGCUAGAUGUGAAAGCCCCGGGCUCAACCUGGGAUGGUCAUUUAGAACUGGCAGACUAGAGUCUUGGAGAGGGGAGUGGAAUUCCAGGUGUAGCGGUGAAAUGCGUAGAUAUCUGGAGGAACAUCAGUGGCGAAGGCGACUCCCUGGCCAAAGACUGACGCUCAUGUGCGAAAGUGUGGGUAGCGAACAGGAUUAGAUACCCUGGUAGUCCACACCGUAAACGCUGUCUACUAGCUGUGUGUGUCUUUAAGACGUGCGUAGCGAAGCUAACGCGCUAAGUAGACCGCCUGGG
rnacentral:rRNA from 1 species